AGUGAACGCUGGCGGUAGGCCUAACACAUGCAAGUCGAACGGCAGCACAGUAAGAGCUUGCUCUUACGGGUGGCGAGUGGCGGACGGGUGAGGAAUACAUCGGAAUCUACUUUUUCGUGGGGGAUAACGUAGGGAAACUUACGCUAAUACCGCAUACGACCUACGGGUGAAAGCAGGGGAUCUUCGGACCUUGCGCGAUUGAAUGAGCCGAUGUCGGAUUAGCUAGUUGGCGGGGUAAAGGCCCACCAAGGCGACGAUCCGUAGCUGGUCUGAGAGGAUGAUCAGCCACACUGGAACUGAGCCACGGUCCAGACUCCUACGGGAGGCAGCAGUGGGGAAUAUUGGACAAUGGGCGCAAGCCUGAUCCAGCCAUACCGCGUGGGUGAAGAAGGCCUUCGGGUUGUAAAGCCCUUUUGUUGGGAGAGAAAAGCAGCAGGUUAAUACCCCGCUGUUCUGACGGUACCCAAAGAAUAAGCACCGGCUAACUUCGUG
rnacentral:rRNA from 1 species